rnacentral:lncRNA from 1 species
UCUUCUUCCCUUCUCCUCUCUCACGUUUCUUCAAACUCCAUGGAAGCUUGAUUUUCAAACUUCCAUAACUUUCUCUCUCUAUCUCCAAUUUUCAUGCUUUUGGUGCACCCUUCCAUAAACCCAUGUGCUAUUUCAUCUUCUCACUUUAAAAACCUUGAAAUAUCUUGUUUUCAUACUUUCUCUCACUAACUGGGCAUUCUAGAGAGAGAAAGAGAGAAUCACUCCAUUGAUUUGGAAGCUAUUGGAAGAGAAUCUAACUACAAAGGAACCCUAGGGUGAGUGAUGCACCAAGUUUAAUUUUUAGCUGCAGAAAAUGGCUAGUAAUUGUGAUUUAUGAGCUGUUUUAUUGUUUAGUAUGUUCAUUACUUUUUAGUGAUUAAAAUAGUGAACAUAGAUAGCCAUUUAAAGUGGCAAUUGAAAACUAGCUAAGAGAUAGCUUUUAGAGUUCAUAGUGUGUAAAUUGAUCUAUUGUUUAUGUUAAUAUGAUCCUAGGUUUUUAAGGAAGCACCAUCAUUCCAAUUGGAUCAUUAAGGGAAUUUGAGUCAACUAAAGGUUCUACAAUC